ACCGACUGCCUGAGGAGCGGGAGUGAGCCUGGCUAGCGGCGGGACCUCACCGCUCCCUGAUUGGGCUGGGCCCGGGUAUCUAUGUACCCGCCUCUCCUUCCUGCACCCUGAUUGGGCUGGGCCUGGCCGGGUACGAAUUCCGGCUGGUACUCGCUCAGGUUCACCUGUGUUCCAUUUUGAGUGCCAAUCAGCAAACUGAAAAGGAAGGGCUCUGGGUGGAAAAUGAUGGCACAGGUGGCCAUGAGAUUAAGGGUCUGUUCCUGGCAUCCCAGAAGAAGUUAUUCUGUUACUUUUGCUUAGAAAACUGAUCAUAGACAGUAAAUGGUGGAUGCUCCACUACUGGUGAAGAAAAGUCUUUUCCUUAUCUCCAUGGUGUGUAAUGAGGAAGUAUUCUUCUCUUUAUGUUUCAACUUCUUAAACCAGCAUUUGAUGUAUGGAGCCUGCACCAGCUGGCUUCCCCCGUAGGAGCACACUGCAAGCAUUUUACCAAUCCUUACAAGCAAGCAACUGAAAUCAAUGUUUAAUAUGUUCCUGAAAUGAUGUCUUCAGAGUUUUUGAGCUCUGUUUUGCACCCUAGAGAAGAUUUUUACAAGCAUGCUCACGCAGAAACCAGUUUUCUUGAAUGGUAUCUCCUUUCUAUAUCUUAGGAGGGUAACAUCUUCUCACACUGUGUCCUAUUGGAGAACCAAGUAAAUGGAUAAUGCAUCUGCAUGUGAUGCUGUGCCAAGCUAUUUCAACAUGUGUGAAAGGUUGCAACAAGAAUACAUUUCCACCCUGAUGUGAGGAACAAACUUAAAAAAAAAAAAAAAAAAAAUCCACAAUCCUGGAAAAUCCCAUAACGAGGAUGUCCUAAUCCAGAACAAAGAACUGACUUUGUAGAUAAAUAUCUCAAUGUCACCUCGUGAAGCAGCUAAUGCACAGAAACAAAUACAUAAUUACCUUGUCCAUCAUGGAUGAAUGAAUCAUCACAUUCUGUGAUCAAACGUAUUUGCAUGUGUAAAUCCACAUAACCAGUGAAUGUGAAGAGCUUUCACCAGGAAAAGAAGUUGCUCUGCACUGUCUCUGUUUGUAGCAAGCCCCUUCCCUAAGAAGGUGAAUCUGAGAACCCCUAGUGCUAAAUUUGAUCCUAUAGUGUUCGGGUUACAUUGUACCUCCAGUCUUCUCCAGCAGCUUCAGCAGCAAAAGGAACAAAAAACUCUCUGUGAUCCAAGAGAUGGGACAGAACUUCUUUUUAAUAAAGGAACUGGCCUCUGGUAGGAUGGGAGAGGCUACAAAUGUAAUGCUCCAACUCGUCCCCGCAGGGUCCUGAGUGCAGUUUAUAACUUCUUCAUACAGCUGAUGGAGUUGGUUUUUAACUCUCCUUUGGCUACUGGAGAACUGGGAAGAGUACUCUUCCAGGGUGUAGAUGGGAGGUCUGAUGGAGAAACAAGUUCAGAGAGAGCAGAAAUGCUGAAGGAAGUGUGCUCUUUUUCUGGCUCCUCCUGUAUCUCCAUCCCAAACUAAGGAGGAGAUCAUGGUUCUCACGUGUUUACACCAGAUUCUUUGUCUUCAUCACUUGUGACUUUUAUACGGGAUGUUUUCCUUCCAUUUUAGAUAGAAGCUUUGUGUUGUUUAGUUGCUCUCUGCAGUGGUUGCCUGUAUGGUCAAUGAGGUUUCUUGGUGGAAAGGCCAUAAUUGGUUUAUCUGUUUUCUUCUGCUUGAACCUGGACCUCUUCAUAGUGCACCUUAUUCCAAGCUUGUGUUAAUGUGAAUUUAGCAAAUGUGAUUUGCUGAUUUUAAAAAAAUACAAUUUCAGAUCUGGACCGAAAAAGGGGUAUAGGCUCUGUUUAUAUUCUUUUUUUGUUUUCUUUUAGAAAACCACUGGAGAGAGUCAGGCAGCCUAAAAAUGGCUUUUUUUAAAAAAAAGCUGAAAUUCUAUUUAGCUUCUGGUGAUGAGUAGCGAGAGCAACAUUUUAUGACUGGUAGAGAAGGGAAGGAGUUAUAGAAGGAUGGGGAAGAGAGAAUCUCUAAAGAAACUUUUUCUUAUCUGUCUAAUCUAUCGUAGUGGAAGUUGAAGGAGAACAAAUUCUGGAGUUGAACAGACUCAUGCACUGGCUUUGGUCCUGCUCUUCCCUCCUGGGAAUAAAGUUGUAUAGAGCCACAGUGAACUUGUGUUGUGACAGUAAGGUUUAAUUACAUCUUUUCCUGUUUUGUGCUCUCUUGGAGAGAAAAAUCAGUCUCAUUGGGUAGGAAAUGUUGAGCUAUACAUUUCAUGCUGAAAACAACACAAGAUGUAAUGGCAUCAGAAUAUAAUAAGCACCAAUGCAGCACAGUCAGCUGCGUUUAUUGUUCACUUAGAGAAAUGAUUAUAUUCGUCCUGGGUAGGCAGUUGGGCUGGUUUCGUUUAAAUACAGUGCAGUCUCUUGCCAAAUCGAUUUUUGAGUGUUAAAGACAACUAGAAAAAUACAUUCCCUUUUAGGGCCGCCUCUUACUAAAGUCAGUGAGAUUUUGAAUUGAUUUCAGUAGAGGCAGGAUCAGGCUGUUAGUGAGGGAAAUCUCUGCUGUCAAUGUCACAGGUUUAGAUGUGAUUAGAAGGCAUCCGUUAUGGCAAAUGUGUGUUAAGCCUGGUGAUUCUUUUCACCUUCCUGACUCCAUUUGCCCUCCUUCUGACAUAACCACUUGCAGCUGUUUCUAGCACAGCUUGAUAGAAAAUUUGAUAUUGUUUCCCAUAUGUUGUAAAAGGUAGAGAAUGGACUCUGAAGAAGGUGGACACACUUUAGCCCACUUUGCCACAUUGAUAGGAAUAAUUGUCUCUGCGCUCUGCCUUAUAAUGAAAAAAUGGAAACAAAUGUUGACUUUCCCUGCCUGCCCCCUAACAUGUAACCACUUGAUUACUUUUUAAGAUAGGGCUAAUAUUCUGUGGUGUCACAGGAUGCAGUUGUGCAUGCGCAAAAGAACCCACCCCAGUAUGCUUCCUGCCAGCUUCUUUAUGAAACUACUGUGCCAGGCAAUACUGCCUCAGCCUUUAGACUUUGCUCUGCUUUUGUUUCUCCAUGUUGGUUGGAAAUCUUCCCGUAUGAAAGGUUAAACAAAUAAAUAAGGGGCAUGUGCAAUAGAUAUAUAUACAUAUAUAUAUAUUUUAAUACUUGUGGACAAAAUGAUGUUACAAGUUGUUUGAAAACAACAAAAUCACCAAUGUCUUCCAUUUUGAGAUGUGUAUAGUUCCAUAAGCAUUAGUGCUUCGUAGCAAACUGUAGUGCCAUGUUAGGAUCAAUGCAUGAGCCUAGUAGUAUUUUUACAAUUUCAGAGUGGCAAAUUAUUGAUAAUAAACAAUAAUGUAACUAACAGUAGAAAGUAGACAGUAACAGAUGUUAUGAACGUGGUCUAAAGAUGCAGUAUCCUUCUUAGGCAGUCGUAGUGACAAUGCUAUCUUUGGAACCAGAAUUUAUUAAAUUGAUGGGCUGUGUGGAAUAAUAGCUGACUUUUUUUUGUAUUGUUUUUGGUAAAGUCUAUCCAGGCUAAACAGUAAACUGUGAGCAUCCAGACUAAUCAUCUCUUCGUCCAUAUAAAGUGAACUGCAAGACAGAUCCAGGACACACACCAGAUUGACAAUGGCAUUUGUUUCCUUUUAGUCUUAAUGAAACACCCUAAACUGUUGUUGCAGACUCUUAUUUUCAUGUAGACCGCUUCAUUACUACCCAUCCCAUCCAUCAUACAGAAGCUGAAGAGCCACUGUAUGUGUUUUAUAGGCAACUCUGCCACCUUCUCGUAUGGGUAUAAUUAGUGAGCUCUGUUAACUAUUGAGCAGAGUAAUUUUACAGAAAUAACUGUUUAAAAAAUAUGAUACUAAUGUUAAUCUUAAUUAGUAAGACUAGUUAAAUUAUUAAAUUCAAAUUGCUGUCUACAAGUUUUGUCUAUUUUGUACACUAAGAGUCCUAAAUUAUAGAUUGACACUUCCAGUACUUUUCCUAGCUAUCUGAUUUCUUUUUUAACUGCAUGGCAGUUUUCUCUCUCUCUCCACAAUGCCUCUCCCUCUACUUUCUGAGAAUGGAAAGCUGAGCUAGGUGAAAUCCAAAUGGUUUAUCACUAAGGAUAAGAUUUUGUUGUGGAAGUCAUAAAUUCUGUGACUUUCAGAGACCUCUGUGACAUUUUCCCUUCAGUUUCAGCCCUGCGUCCGGGGCGGUGGGGCUAGAGUUGUCAGCUGGCGGGGGCUCUGUGCCACUGCAGGUGCAGGGGCCGCACUGCCGUCAGGCACUGCAGGCAGCGGGUCCCGCAUCUCUGAGCCACCGUGAGCAGAAGGGACUGUCGCUGUCAGCUGCUAUGGACAGUGAGGGCCCCAGAGCUCUCAGUCACUGCCACUGGAGCCAGCAGCAGCUGCAGGAGCCUUGGAGCUGUCAACCACAGUGGGUGCUGGAGCUCCCCCCUCCUCCAACUGCAGGGCUUGGGCUUCAGUUGUCCCCUGGUCAGUUCCCCCUUCCCCAUUAUUUUUAGUAAAAGUCAGAGACAGAUCAUGGGCUUCCCUGAAUUUUUUUUAUUGCGCGUGACCUGUCCCUGACUUUUACUAAAAAUAACUGUGACAAAAUCUUAACUUUAUCACUUUCUCAGGCAGUUUAGGCUACUGAAGCAAGAGAUGGAAAUGACUCCCAACCCAGGUUUGCAACAAUCAGUACCGUAUCUAUCUGAUUUCCUGGAAUAGCUUUUUUAUUGCUGUCACUAUUGUUUUUCACUCACCUCUGUUUUAAAAAUAACAGACUGCUGUCAUCUAUAAGAGGAUACUGCAUCUUUUCUUGAGACCUGCCUGUAAAUGGCCACCUGGAUAAAAUGAGUAGCUUGGGUUUCUGAGUUGAUCUAGUUUAAUUAAAUGGGCAAAAUGUAUUGAGAUACAAAACCAGUGAUUCUUGCAGAGUUAAUUAUGUAAUAAAAGACAGAGUCUCUGCAUAUUCCGUCUCUCCAUGUAUAUUGGGCAGGUGGGCUGUUUACAGUAGAGCUCUGGGAACUGUGCUCAAAGCUAGUUCAGUUCUGAACAAAAGUAGCUAUACCACUGAAUCAAGUAGUUUAGUGCUUGGGGGAAUCAAUUGAUUAAAAAAUACCUCUGAAACUGGAAUGCAAAAUAGCACAGUAUGUAGGGGGAAAUAUCCCUGAUGCAAACAAAGCCAUAAAAAGAUUUAAUAAAACUAGAAUUUUAGUAGCAAUAACUGUUUUGCAUGUAAUAGUAACUAACUUGCAUUAGUAAGAUUGUACAGUAGAAUAAGUGGUAAUAACCAAAUAAGUUUGUGGUGUGUGCUGCAGGGAGUUGCAUGAAGAGAACAAUGUCUCUUUUUAAGAAGAUAGAAGAAUUCCUCUUACUGUUCCCCUCUUUUGAGGGAAUAUGGCUCUUAAAUACCAUGGUGAUGAGCCUGGUAUAAAACCUGGAUAACUAUAGGCCAUGCAUCGGAAUUAGUGCAUGUAGGGGAAGAGUGGGCAGUUGUGUUUGAGUGACUGGUUUCCCUAUUGUUUGUUUUGUAGUGUAGCAUGUGCAGUACCUCUGAGAGGAAAGUGCUGAGAUGAAGAAGACCCGUUUCCUACAGUUGGAAAGCAUAAUUCAAGCUUUUAUUGGAGAGAGGAGUUUUUGUUUUUGUAAAAAGAAACUAAGUAGAGCUGUGACAGGUCCUAAAAAGAAAGUAUUGCAAAAUGUUGACAACCCAAAUGUUUGUUCUGCAGGGACAGAAUUGCAGGAUUUAUUUCAAAAGACUAUCCUACUUCCUCUUUUAAAAUUUUAAGCACAAACUGGCCAUAUGCUUCCAUUUAAGAUUAAAACUGUUUUCUGUUCACCUUUUGAGUUUUGCAAAGCCAAUUGCAGUAGAUUCUCUGGUAAGGCAGAGGAGAAUUGAUCUGCUGCUGUGGUACUUGUCCCUGGCAACUAUUAGAGGGGCAUUGAAAAGAGCCCAUGGAGUUUUAAAAUACAGCCCACAGCUGACCUUGUCUUCAGUACAGAAGUGUAGCCUGCAGAGAAUAUACAGCUCAGCAUGCCAUGUUCUGUCCUGAGUUGAAUUAUUAAACCAAAGUGUGUGUUGAUCCAUGUGGUGGCUUAAUCUCUUUGAUCAGGAUGGGAUAUUGCAUGCUACCAUCUGUAGUGUCAGAGAGUGGCUGAACUUUGCUUCAUUAUUUAAUAAACUCGUGGGGCCAUUUGUCCCCUGGCAAGUUGAUAACAUGACCCCGUGUUGAGCCAAAAUGUGGGCACCCCUGAUAUAAUGUAACCAAGAUGGAUGUAUGGAUAAGUAGUUAAGUGUUAGCAAGUAGGGCAUAUCCAAUAGUAGUCUUGGACAUGAAAACCUGUGAUCUGAAAGAUGGUGAUUUGAAAUAAAUUCCAGCUAUUACAUUAUUAUUAAAACAGGAAACAUACCAAGAGGAGACCUUAACUUGAUCAUGUCUUAGUCAUACUACAUGGUAUUAGACCAGCCAUAUACAAUUACGAAAGUCUAAUUGCCAGUCUUUUACCAUACUAAUGAAAACACUGUCUUGCUCAUAUUUCCAGAAUAUGUAGUUUUCCUAGCUGAGUAGAGUUUUUUGCAAGACUGUGUUACACAGUUACAAUGAAAACUUUAAGGCUAUUGGCUUGUUGCUGCCAGUGCAGACUUUCUGGUGUACUAUUCUCCAGGGGUGACUAAAUUUCCAAGGACUGCUCACAGCAGCACUGUCAGAGAUCCAGCUGACCCUAAGGCUACUGAGCUGUGGUAUGAUUCCCUCCCAAGCCCUUGAUUCUGCUUUGUUUUGCAAGCAAGGAAAAGAUCAGAUAAUGUGAUGGUUGUCAAGUAGUGCUAUGCUAAUACUAGGUCUAAGCAGCGCUAAGUCUAGAUCAGAAGUGUAUGGACUGUGCAGAAACCUGUGGUCUGCUGUUUUGCUCACUGGUGCUGCUGGAGAAGUUCUAGCCAGUACCUGUGCUGUGAAUUGCAGCUCUUGCUCAAUACAGCUGGCUGUUAAAGAUCUUCUCAGCACUAAGAAAUCCUUGUGGCAAAUUUUUGGGAAUAGACAGCUGUGGCAAGCUUCAGGACAAUGAUAUUUUAAAUAGGGCUUCACUACCAGCUCUGCUGUCAAGGUUAUUUUCAGGGUUUUAUGGAAGUACUCCGUAAUAAUGAGAGAACAGAACCUUUUCUGCGGAAGUUUGUCAGUGCUCCUAGAGACCCCUUUUCCCCCUGCAUUGCAGUGACCCUCCUUUCAGCUGUGAAUGGAGACUAGCUGAGAUUUCCUUCCAAGCCCAUUCGUACAGCUUUUUACUUGAGCCAGAGUGGCUAUAUGUCGGGCAAUUUCAGGUGCAGCCUUUCCUCCCAAAGGUUCAGCAUGUUGCCUCCACAGUAUGGCCAGGCUAAGGCACCAAGGGCCACUUACAUAGCAGUGCAGAAUGCUACCUAUGGACACCCCCCACCCUCCCACAUUUUCCUUCAGUCUGCUUUGCACUUUUUCCUGAAGUUUGACUUUAGAAUAAUGUGUAUACAUACACAGCAUAAGUAAAGGAUAUGUCUGGCAGUAAACCUACAUACAAAGCAGUCACAGUAUACCCAAAUUCUCUAAAGCUUACUUUUUAUCUUUACUGUCAGAUGUUCUAACUUGCUGUAGCACAUGUCCUGUGUAAAUUCUGUUUUCUCUCCAAACUGAAUGUGUGUUUGCAGGGCAACUAAGAGAAUGUUCAUUUGUGAAGCUCUAGGCACAAGGAACUGCAUGGAAAAAAUGAGGAAGAAUGGCACAGGCCCACAAAUCAAGUUUUAUAGAGCUAGUAUUCUAAUUAUGCAUGAUUCAAAAUGUCUAGUGUUACAUAGUUAUUACCAGUAAAUUCAGAUAUGCAUUUAUUCAUAAUGAAGCAAUAGGAACUAAUAUACCAAUAGCUUGAACUUACUGCUUUGAUUCUCAAAUGUUGUUUUUUAGAGAAUGCACUGCCUCUGUAGAGAAAGGGGCAGAUUAUACAGAUAGGGACAGAAGCAUGGCACCAAAACUGCAUAUCAGGAACGAGGAUCAUCAGAACUCGCCUUUUUAACCUCUUGCCUGGUUCACAUGUGGCCCUGAGCAUGUAAAAAACAGGGCAUGAACUAAGCAUAUUUAGUGGCGAGAUGAGGUUUCUCAGCUGCUGCAAUUGUAGCAAACAGAAAGGUGCAGAGUUUCCCAGGGUGUGGGGAGGGCAGCAGGUGAAAUCCAAGUUGGAUAACAAAAACUGCCUCAAAGUAAACUGAAUGUAGGAUUUGCUUGACAAUAGGUGAAAGAGGUCUUGGCCUAGUGAGGUAAAUUUUUUGGAGGGGGUUGAAAUCAAUAAGCACAGUCCACAUAUUUCAGGUGUUGAAUAGCUUUUUAAUAUAUUUUCAGGUAACUCUUUAGCCACAUAGGCCACUGUAUUGAAGCAUACUGGUAUGAACCAGCAGUCAUGGCACCCUGUAAGAAUGAACCUGAAGUUUUUGACAAAUUUGUGUUUUUAUUUUGUUGAGCUCUGUGACUAAGUUUUUUUUAAAAGUUAUAAAAUGAGAUUUGCUCAGUGGAUGUCCUGACCUCUAGCAACAUAGGUGACAAUGUUUUGUUCUUAAUUUCACUGAUUGAAAAAAGUGAUUGACAUGAGAACACUAAUGAAAAUCAGGUGCCAUCUAUUUGUUUGCAAACUUUUACUAUGUUUUCUGCAAAGAAUAUUCCUCGAGCCACUUUGUAGGUGUUUGGGGAAAAUUUCUGCUGAGAAUGUUUUAAAAAAAAAAAUGUUAUGGUAUCUGUAGCAGAGCACAAGAACUAAUGCUGCUUUUCCUAGACUGAAGCAUGUAAACUCAUAGAAGCUCUCAGACUGAGACAAUUAGCCUGCAAGAUUCCUUCCUUCUAUCUUAUUACGGCUACAUCUAACUUUGCAGGAGGACCUAGUUUAUGUGAAAAUCCCUCUGUCAGAAAUUCCCUUCUGUUUCUUUGAACAAACAGAAUGGGGCAAGAGGAAGGGUUUAUGGGUCAAGUUAACACCUGUCUACGUUCUUAGCCAGAGUAAUACAAGUACACCCAUGCUUGCAGGUUUGGUGUGGGGGCCAUAUAUUUUUUUCUCGUUGUUCUUUCCUUAGAUAUAGAGUAGUUGCCAAAUGAAAAAGGGAAUAUUAAGGUUUACUCUGUGGUGAUAGUAUAAAAUACAGUCUGAAUAUGGUUGAAAUUUUUCCUUUGGGCCAACUUCUGUAGGCAAAAAGGAAUGGUUAAAACAUGUUUAACCCAAGUGGUGAACCAUGCCACUAAAACCCUACUGGACAUCCUUCAGGACUACUCUUCAGUUUAAAAUCCUGCAUUAGUACUUUUUUUUUCCCAUUUUUUUUUCUAAAUAAGGCCUGGUCUGCACUUAAAAUUUAGGUCAACAUAGUAACAGCACUCAGAGUGUAAAAAAUCUACACCCCUGAAUGUUGCAGCUAUGCUGACAUAAACCCCCUAUGGCUAGGUAGACAGAAGAGUAACAGUAGCUAGGUUAAGAAUUAAAGUUGGUGGAGUUACUACAGUGACAGAAAAAACUCUUCCAUUGUUGUAAUGUACACUGCAGUUGUGCCACUGUAAUAUUCGUAGUGUAGAUGUUGCUUGAGGGGUAAGCAGUUAGUGUAUUUACAAAUACACACUUAUUUCCCUUCUAAACAAAAAGGAAAUAAAACUUCAUUGUAAAUAAUCUUUGUGAGGCACAUGGUGGAAGAGCAGAGGAGAAGUGUUGAAGGUGGUCUUCAGCUCCAACAUAGGAAGGGGAUAGAGUAGAUGCCUUUAAAAAUAAUUUUUUGUCCUUAAGUUUGGAAACUAGGUUAGAGAAUACUGAACUUCUGAUGGUAUGAUCACAUUUUUAUUGUACUCAAUAGACCAUGCACAAGAAAGAUUAGUGAAGGAAUUUAGUGGUAACACUGGAAACCAUUUACUCCAUUGCAUAGUGUGUUUUAUGUGGUAAUACUGAAAAUUUCUCCCUGUAUAUAGCUGAAGUUUUCCAAAAGGCAGCUUGCUUUUAUAUCUAUGCAUCUUUGGGGAUUUGAAGAAAAGACUUUAUUCUUUUGACACUGUAAAGAGGAACUGUUUAAAAAUGAACUUGGAAACUCUGCACCUGUAUACAAUUUUUUUUAGCAAUAAAGCAGCACGGGCUGAGAAUGCAC